rnacentral:rRNA from 1 species
CCUACGGGGUGCAGCAGUGAGGAAUAUUGGUCAAUGGACGAGAGUCUGAACCAGCCAAGUAGCGUGAAGGAUGACUGCCCUAUGGGUUGUAAACUUCUUUUAUAUGGGAAUAAAAUGUUCCACGUGUGGGAUUUUGUAUGUACCAUAUGAAUAAGGAUCGGCUAACUCCGCGCCAGCAGCCGCGGUAAUACGGAGGAUCCGAGCGUUAUCCGGAUUUAUUGGGUUUAAAGGGAGCGUAGGUGGAUUGUUAAGUCAGUUGUGAAAGUUUGCGGCUCAACCGUAAAAUUGCAGUUGAAACUGGCAGUCUUGAGUACAGUAGAGGUGGGCGGAAUUCGUGGUGUAGCGGUGAAAUGCUUAGAUAUCACGAAGAACUCCGAUUGCGAAGGCAGUUCACUGGACUGCAACUGACACUGAGGCUCGAAAGUGUGGGUAUCAAACAGGAUUAGAUACCCUAGUAGUC